CAACCUUGUGGCAACACACAUCCUAGAAAAUACCAAACGAUCAUUUAGAAUUUUUUAACACUGCUUGUCAGAGGGCUUGCGCCCGCCAUUUGCGUUUUUUCGUUCUCUUAUUUCUGAUCUUUCGGCCGAAGCACAUACUAAUCAAAGCACAUUCUAAUCAAAUUUUGCAAAGAAGUGCUAAGUCUACGUGUGUAUAUAUUCAAGUAUAUGCACCGCAUCGGGCUUAAUAGCCGCCCAACCAGACAACAACGGCUGGCGUAAUUUCGCUGGAACCGAUCGCAAACUCCAACUGUAGUUGAAAAACUUAUUAGGGGUGCGCAGCGAUAUUUGAUGAAACCGCCUGCUAUUCGGUUUGGCCCACUCCGGUUGCCAACACGUGGAGCCGGACUACUCGAGCCGAGCCACAUACAGUUUAUCAGUGGUAAUUUAAGUUUCGAGCCAAGCUUUCCAACCGUUGUAAGACGUAAGGAAAACUUAAGGUACUCAUCCAUACACGUGUUGUUCGCCAUGUUCUUCUGUCCAGUUGCCAGUUGAGUAGCCUAACGCCGGACUAAUGGUUAAAUAUCUCCACGUCCAAAACGAGUGUGUCCCGGAUAAGCAGGCACCCCGGACUCUUGUUCUAGCUGUUAAAUAUGCCGCCACACAGCUAAGGAUUCACCCUCGAUCUCGGCAGUCGAUCUGACUGUUGCGUCGCUUUUGUAGUUUUUUAGAAAAGAUUUUAAAUUUAGAUUGACUGUUAACUAAUAACAUUUUAAAGUUUACUCAGCAUACACAUACCGUCCACAGGCCUGUCCACUGCUGAUUUAAAGAUUUAAAGUAUUCAUAUUGAAAGUACGGCAUAACCGACGGUAUGUUAACAUCAAUCUGAGCCAAGUAAUUUAAUUAUAUAAUAACAAUAGAUUCAAGUUUCGACACCCGUACUAUUUUGUUAAAGAUUACCUUAAUUUUUUUUUAAACUUAAAUGUUAACGUAAAUUUUUGAACGAAGAACAUAAAUGAAGUCAUUUGUACCCAUUAUAUGGUUAGUUUGCCAUGGGCAAGCUAACGUUAGGAAAAUCAUAAGCAGCCGCCAUGGGCAACUUGUAUUUAAUUGAAUUUUGGUACGUGUUUGUGAAUGAAGUAUAAAGUGGAGUACAUUUUUGCGAAUUAGGACACCUGAAGUAACUGUGCACCAUUAAUAAAGGCAUUGGCCACAUAUGCAAAGCGAGCCUAUGCAAGGUUGGGUGGGUUUUGAAACGGAAUUAAAUGACAUUUGCAAUUUCUCUCACUUAGUAUAAAAUUAGAUUCUUUGAGUUUUGGUUUAGUUAGUCAAUAGUUCCCUACUCUGUCUACUAUUUAAGUUUAUGUGAAGCCGCGGUUCUCUAGGUAGCAAAACCCCAUUCCCAUUUUCCCUGAGCACAGCCGACCGUGUAGGUAGAGUACGCUGCCAGAUAGCCGCACACGUUGCCGUGUUCGUUACAGUUUCAAGGGACA